rnacentral:rRNA from 1 species
CUACGGGAGGCAGCAGUAGGGAAUCUUCCGCAAUGGGCGAAAGCCUGACGGAGCAACGCCGCGUGAAUGAUGAAGGUCUUCGGAUCGUAAAACUCUGUUAUUAGGGAAGAACAAAUGUGUAAGUAACUAUGCACGUCUUGACGGUACCUAAUCAGAAAGCCACGGCUAACUACGUGCCAGCAGCCGCGGUAAUACGUAGGUGGCAAGCGUUAUCCGGAAUUAUUGGGCGUAAAGCGCGCGUAGGCGGUUUUUUAAGUCUGAUGUGAAAGCCCACGGCUCAACCGUGGAGGGUCAUUGGAAACUGGAAAACUUGAGUGCAGAAGAGGAAAGUGGAAUUCCAUGUGUAGCGGUGAAAUGCGCAGAGAUAUGGAGGAACACCAGUGGCGAAGGCGACUUUCUGGUCUGUAACUGACGCUGAUGUGCGAAAGCGUGGGGAUCAAACAGGAUUAGAUACCCUGGUAGUCCACGCCGUAAACGAUGAGUGCUAAGUGUUAGGGGGUUUCCGCCCCUUAGUGCUGCAGCUAACGCAUUAAGCACUCCGCCUGGGGAGUACGACCGCAAGGUUGAAACUCAAAGGAAUUGACG